UACGAAGGGUGCAAGCGUUAAUCGGAAUUACUGGGCGUAAAGGGUGCGUAGGCGGUUCGUUAAGUCUGUCGUGAAAUCCCCGGGCUCAACCUGGGAAUGGCGAUGGAUACUGGCGAGCUAGAGUGUGUCAGAGGAUGGUGGAAUUCCCGGUGUAGCGGUGAAAUGCGUAGAGAUCGGGAGGAACAUCAGUGGCGAAGGCGGCCAUCUGGGACACCACUGACGCUGAAGCACGAAAGCGUGGGGAGCAAACAGG
rnacentral:rRNA from 1 species